CGUAGGGGGCAAGCGUUGUCCGGAUUUAUUGGGCGUAAAGCGCGCGUAGGCGGCGCGGUAUGUCGUGCGUGAAAUCUCCCGGCUUAACUGGGAGGGGCCGUGCGAAACUGCCGGGCUUGAGGUCAGAAGGGGAAAGUGGAACUCCGGGUGUAGUGGUGGAAUACGUAGAUAUCCGGAGGAACACCAGCGGCGAAGGCGGCUUUCUGGUCUGAUACUGACGCUGAGGCGCGAAAGCGUGGGGAGCGAUCCGGAUUAGAUACCCGGGUAGUCCACGCCGUAAACGAUGAGUACUAGGUGUCGGGGGUAUCGACCCCCUCGGUGCCGUCGCUAACGCAUUAAGUACUCCGCCUGGGGACUACGGCCGCAAGGCUA
rnacentral:rRNA from 1 species